rnacentral:ribozyme from 1 species
UGCCCAGCCACUCCUAUCCCUAACCUCCUCGCGGUACCGGCCGGAAACUAUGAGCAACCUUAGGGAAGAUCGGGUAACCAACCCCGGUGGGAACUUUGGUCAUAGGCUGACAGGGAAGA